rnacentral:rRNA from 1 species
AGAUUGAACGCUGGCGGCAUGCCUAACACAUGCAAGUCGAACGGGAGUAGCAAUACUCUAGUGGCGGGCGGGUGAGGAAUACGUAGGAAUUUGCCCUUAAGUGGGGGAUAACCCGGGGAAACCCGGAUUAAUACCGCAUGACCUCGAAAGAGCAAAGUGGGGGAUCGCAAGACCUCACGCUUUUGGAGAAGCCUACGUCGGAUUAGCUAGUUGGUGAGGUAAUGGCUCACCAAGGCGACGAUCCGUAACUGGUCUGAGAGGAUGAUCAGUCACACCGGAACUGAGACACGGUCCGGACUCCGUAGGGAGCAGCAGUGGGAAUAUUGGAC